UUUUCGUGUCCCUGGAAAUUGCAUCAAGGAAAGGUAUGUGUAAACUGAUCAGAGCUCAUGAGAUAACUGGCAAAUAUUAGUGGAGGGUUUUAGGGGAAAGAUAUGUUCUCCUCCUUCCUCAGUAGCUACCAGAAGAAACUCUGACUGUCCCCCAUGACUUGACGAUGUGAAACUAUGAACACUGAGCUGCAACUGCCAGAGCAUCGGACACAUGACUCAGAGAAACGGGAAUUUGGAAAAGCAGAGCUGUCCUAUCAAAAUAGCCUUUAAAGCACUAGCUGUGUGACCUUGUGAAAGAAUCAGUUAAAUAGUAUUCAUUUUCUCCAAAAUACUUCCUCAUCUCAGCUCCUCAAAAGAAUUUCUAUGCUAUUGUUAAAGAUAUUUUGAAUUAGUGGUCAUAAAGUACUUUUAAAACAUCCCUGUGAAGGGCUUUAGAGCUGCACCCUGUAGCAUCGGGAGGAUUCAUUCCUGUUCAAACAAGAGAACAGAGAACAAGACUGGCUGCAGCAGGUGCCUGCUUCAAAGAUUCAAGUCGAGUGGAAUCAGAAAAGAACAGGCAGUGCAGAUGGUUAAAAAUUCAUAAUCUGCCUCUCUCCAACAUGCUUUGUGCCUGAGGAGCUGUGCCCCAUGGACGGCUUCAAGAAGGCUCCACUGCCCGCUGGCUUUCAGCUGACCAGUGGGAAGCGCCAGUCAAAGGUUCUCUAUGCUGGUAAAUAUCAUUGAAAAGCUGUCCUAUCAAGUUUUGAAGAAAAAAAUUAACAGACUCGAGGAACGUCCUUUAAAGUAAUCAGUGGGUCUUAACCAUAGCUGCCCAUUAGAAUCACCUGGGCAGACUUUGGAACUCCAAUGCCUAAGGCACGCUCCAGUCUAUUUAAUUAAGAACCCUACAUGUGGACCCAAAUGUCAGUACUUUUUAAAGUUCUCUACAUGAAUCCAAUGUGCAAUUAUGUAUGCAAAUCAAAGCACUACAGCAGUAUUUCUCAAGAUGUGGUCCUCAGGCUUCCUACAUCAGAAUCACCCCAGAUAUUAAUAAAUAAAUUCCUGAACUGAACCCCGAAUGUCUUGAAUCAGAAUGUUUGUCGAUGGGGAUGUGAAAUCUGCACUUUUAACAAGCAGAUAUUUUUAGUUAUAAGAUCAUAUGUGUUUUUUUUUUUUUUUUUAAUUUGG
rnacentral:lncRNA from 1 species